rnacentral:rRNA from 1 species
AGUGAACGCUGGCGGUAGGCCUAAUACAUGCAAGUCGAACGACCGCACAAUAAGCGCUCGUCCCUACGGUUGGCGACUGGCGGGCGGGUGAGGCAUACAUAGCCAUCCUAUAUUUCGUGGGGAACUACGUAGGGCCACAUCCGCUACCACAGAAUAUGUUCUACGGCUUAAAGCAGGGGUUAUUCACACUUUGCCUGUCACUAUUAGAUGGUGCCGGAUUAGCUAGUUGGCGAGGUAAAGGCACACCAAGGCGACGAUGCGUAGCUGAUCUGAGAGGAUGAUCGGCCACACUGGAACUGAGACACGGUCCAGACUCCUACGGGAGGCAGCAGUAGGGAAUAUUCGGCAAUGGGCGCAAGCCUGACCCAGCCACACCGCGUGAGUGAUGAAGGCCUUCGGAUUGUAAAGCUCUGUUGUUAGGGAAGAAAAUCUGCGUAAGAAAACGUCGAUAUCCUGACGGUACCCAAAGAGUAAGCACCGGCUAACUACGUG